rnacentral:lncRNA from 13 species
CAAAAGAACAAGAAGGGGAAAUUUAAUGAGAAAUAUGACAGAAGACAAGGAGAGCAGAGAAAACACAAAAGUUGAAAUGUAGCAGAUAACAGAACAGUAGGAUAUUAAAUGACUUUUAAUGAAAGGAUUACCCUGAAACAAAUAUAACUCGGAGAACAAAAUAUUUUAAUUAUUUUAUUACAGGAAGAAAGCAAAUUAGCUGUCACCCAUAAAUAAAUGCAAUCCACAUGUCAGAGUGAAUUUUGAGAAGGCGGUUUUCAACUGAGACUGACUGAAUGGAAGGCCCGUGCUUGCACAUGGAUCUGCAUCCACCACCCUGCACUGCUGGGGCCCCAGGCUGACAGAUGGAGAGGAACACAGACAGAAUGCUGCACCUGGAGAUGUCCAUGUCCUAAUCACUGGAACUUGUGGAUGGAGUAUGUGCCUUACAUGAUAAAGGAGAAUUGAGGCUGCAGAUGGAAUUGAGCUUGCUAAGCAGCUGACCUGGAGGAAUAGGUUUCCUUGGAGAGAGCUACCAGCUCCCGCUCAGCCCACGUGCUUCUUAUGCAGCUGAUGCC